UACGAAGGUCCCAAGCGUUAUCCGGAUUUAUUGGGUUUAAAGGGUGCGUAGGCGGAUUAUUAAGUCAGUGGUGAAAGCUCCAUGCCUAACAUGGAAAUUGCCAUUGAUACUGAUGAUCUUGAGUACAUUUGAAGUGGGCGGAAUGUGUCAUGUAGCGGUGAAAUGCUUAGAUAUGACACAGAACACCGAUUGCGUAGGCAGCUCGCUAAAACUGUAACUGACGCUGAGGCACGAAAGCGCGGGGAGCAAACAGG
rnacentral:rRNA from 1 species